UAUGGACCAAAAUGAAUGAAAUACUGUUAGCAUUGCAAUUGGCAGUGAUGUGUGCUACGGAAAAAGUCUGUUACACUGUUCAAUAAUUCAAGUCGUGAAUUUAUGAGUUCAUGAAAAAAACGAGUGGGACAUAUAAGCACAGCACAACGUUCCAAACUGCGCGCGGAAAAGUACAGCUCAAACCAAAAAACAACAACAACAAUAAUGAUAUGCUUACGGUCCCUUCCUCUUGUUCCUCACGAACUCAAAUCCCCACUCUCAUUCAGAACCAGAGCACAACAACAACAACAACACUCACACCCCUUCUCUCAAACUCUCCGCUCUCACACUGUACCCCACAAAACUCUCACUGGAGGAGGCACAGCAACAACUACUGUAGCCAACGUAGGUCUCUGUGAACAUAAUGACCUCAACGCUGCGGAGGAAGAGGAGCCAUUGCCAUCUGAGCUGAGUGAAGAGCUGAUGCCGAAUCAUGUGGCCGUGAUUAUGGAUGGGAAUGGUAGGUGGGCUAAGCAGAGAGGCUUACCUGUCUCGGCGGGCCACCUGGCAGGUGCACGGUCACUGAGAGAGCUCGUUGAGAUUUGUUGUAAAUGGGGGGUUAGAGUUCUCACUGUUUUUGCCUUCUCUUAUGAUAACUGGAUUCGCCCCAAGGUGGAGGUUGAAUUCUUGAUGAAUUUGUUUGAAAGAGAAAUAAAGUCACAAAUGCAGAAGUUUGUGAGUGAAGGUAUUAGAAUAAGCGUGAUUGGGGAUUCAUCAAAGCUUCCAGAGUCUCUACAGAAAUUGAUAAGUGAUGCAGAAGAGGCAACAAAAGACAGUUCUAGAUUCCAACUCAUUGUGGCAGUUAGUUACAGUGGGAAAAAUGACAUUGUACAAGCAUGCAAAAGUCUUGCUUGCAAAGUCAAAGAUGGCGUCGUUCAACUGGAAGACAUCAGCGAAAGCAUGGUUGAACAGGAAUUAGAAACCAACUGUACCGAGUAUCCCUAUCCUGAUCUACUAAUACGAACCAGUGGUGAACUAAGAGUCAGCAACUUCUUGUUGUGGCAGUUGGCCUACACUGAAUUUUUCUUUGUAAAAGAACUCUGGCCUGAUUUUGGGAAAGCUGAGUUUGUAGUGGCUUUAAUUUCAUUUCAGCAAAGACAGAGACGCUAUGGUGCACGUCUUACAUAAGAAAUAGCCAAUUACAUAGAUCUUAGCUUCUGUAUCAUCAUACAGAGAGUUUGAACCAUGCAAUAAAGGUUUCUUAUGAUAAUUUCACGAUCCA